UACGAAGGGGGCUAGCGUUGCUCGGAAUCACUGGGCGUAAAGCGCACGUAGGCGGACUCUUAAGUCGGUGGUGAAAUCCUGGAGCUCAACUCCAGAACUGCCUUCGAUACUGAGAGUCUCGAGUCCGGGAGAGGUGAGUGGAACUGCGAGUGUAGAGGUGAAAUUCGUAGAUAUUCGCAAGAACACCAGUGGCGAAGGCGGCUCACUGGCCCGGUACUGACGCUGAGGUACGAAAGCGUGGGAGCAAACAGGG
rnacentral:rRNA from 1 species